AUGAACGCUAGCUACAGGCUUAACACAUGCAAGUCGAGGGGCAGCAUGGUCUUAGCUUGCUAAGGCCGAUGGCGACCGGCGCACGGGUGAGUAACACGUAUCCAACCUGCCGUCUACUCUUGGACAGCCUUCUGAAAGGAAGAUUAAUACAAGAUGGCAUCAUGAGUCCGCAUGUUCACAUGAUUAAAGGUAUUCCGGUAGACGAUGGGGAUGCGUUCCAUUAGAUAGUAGGCGGGGUAACGGCCCACCUAGUCUUCGAUGGAUAGGGGUUCUGAGAGGAAGGUCCCCCACAUUGGAACUGAGACACGGUCCAAACUCCUACGGGAGGCAGCAGUGAGGAAUAUUGGUCAAUGGGCGAGAGCCUGAACCAGCCAAGUAGCGUGAAGGAUGACUGCCCUAUGGGUUGUAAACUUCUUUUAUAAAGGAAUAAAGUCGGGUAUGGAUACCCGUUUGCAUGUACUUUAUGAAUAAGGAUCGGCUAACUCCGUGCCAGCAGCCGCGGUAAUACGGAGGAUCCGAGCGUUAUCCGGAUUUAUUGGGUUUAAAGGGAGCGUAGAUGGAUGUUUAAGUCAGUUGUGAAAGUUUGCGGCUCAACCGUAAAAUUGCAGUUGAUACUGGAUAUCUUGAGUGCAGUUGAGGCAGGCGGAAUUCGUGGUGUAGCGGUGAAAUGCUUAGAUAUCACGAAGAACUCCGAUUGCGAAGGCAGCCUGCUAAGCUGCAACUGACAUUGAGGCUCGAAAGUGUGGGUAUCAAACAGGAUUAGAUACCCUGGUAGUCCACGCAGUAAACGAUGAAUACUAACUGUUUGCGAUACAAUGUAAGCGGUACAGCGAAAGCGUUAAGUAUUCCACCUGGGGAGUACGCCGGCAACGGUGAAACUCAAAGGAAUUGACGGGGGCCCGCACAAGCGGAGGAACAUGUGGUUUAAUUCGAUGAUACGCGAGGAACCUUACCCGGGCUUAAAUUGCAGAUGAAUUACGGUGAAAGCCGUAAGCCGCAAGGCAUCUGUGAAGGUGCUGCAUGGUUGUCGUCAGCUCGUGCCGUGAGGUGUCGGCUUAAGUGCCAUAACGAGCGCAACCCUUGUUGUCAGUUACUAACAGGUUCCGCUGAGGACUCUGACAAGACUGCCAUCGUAAGAUGUGAGGAAGGUGGGGAUGACGUCAAAUCAGCACGGCCCUUACGUCCGGGGCUACACACGUGUUACAAUGGGGGGUACAGAGGGCCGCUACCACGCGAGUGGAUGCCAAUCCCCAAAACCUCUCUCAGUUCGGACUGGAGUCUGCAACCCGACUCCACGAAGCUGGAUUCGCUAGUAAUCGCGCAUCAGCCACGGCGCGGUGAAUACGUUCCCGGGCCUUGUACACACCGCCCGUCAAGCCAUGGGAGCCGGGGGUACCUGAAGUGCGUAACCGCGAGGAGCGCCCUAGGGUAAAACUGGUGACUGGGGCU
rnacentral:rRNA from 1 species